rnacentral:rRNA from 1 species
UACGGGGGGGGCAAGCGUUGUUCGGAAUUACUGGGCGUAAAGGGUUCGUAGGUGGCCAACUAAGUCAGACGUGAAAUCCCUCAGCUUAACUGGGGAACUGCGUCUGAUACUGGUUGGCUUGAGUGCAGGAGAGGAAUGCGGAAUUCCAGGUGUAGCGGUGAAAUGCGUAGAUAUCGGGAGGAACACCGGUGGCGAAGGCGGUUCUCUGGGCCUGUACUGACGCUGAGGAGCGAAAGCGUGGGGAGCGAACAGG